rnacentral:rRNA from 1 species
UACGAAGGGGGCGAGCGUUGUUCGGAUUUACUGGGCGUAAAGGGCGCGCAGGCGGCUCAUUUUGUCAGGCGUGAAAGCCCCGGGCUUAACCUGGGAACUGCGUUUGAUACGGGCAGACUAGAGUUCGGUAGGGGAGACUGGAAUUCCUGGUGUAGCGGUGAAAUGCGCAGAUAUCAGGAGGAACACCGGUGGCGAAGGCGGGUCUCUGGGCCGAUACUGACGCUGAGGAGCGAAAGCGUGGGGAGCGAACAGG